CUCCAGACUCCUACGGGAGGCAGCAGUGGGGGAUAUUGCACAAUGGGGGGAACCCUGAUGCAGCGACGCCGCGUGGGUGAAGGAGCACCUCGGUGCGUAAAGCCCUCUCGGCAGGGAAGAAAAGCGAACAGGUUCGCCUGGACGGUACCUGACUAAGAAGCCCCGGCUAACUACGUGCCAGCAGCCGCGGUAAUACGUAGGGGGCAAGCGUUAUCCGGAUUUACUGGGUGUAAAGGGGGCGCAGACGGCAAUGCAAGCCAGGAGUGAAAGGCCGGGGCCGAACCCCGGGACUGCUCUUGGAACUGCAUGGCUGGAGUACAGGAGGGGCAGGCGGAAUUCCUAGUGUAGCGGUGAAAUGCGUAGAUAUUGGGAGGAACACCGGUGGCGAAGGCGGCCUGCUGGACUGUGACUGACGUUGAGGCCCGAAGGCGUGGGGAGCAAACAGGAUUAGAUACCCCAGUAUCC
rnacentral:rRNA from 1 species